UACGUAGGGUGCGAGCGUUAAUCGGAAUUACUGGGCGUAAAGCGUGCGCAGGCGGUUCGUUAAGUUCGUUGUGAAAGCCCCGGGCUCAACCUGGGAACGGCAAUGGAAACUGGCGGGCUUGAAUGCGGCAGAGGGGGGUGGAAUUCCGCGUGUAGCAGUGAAAUGCGUAGAGAUGCGGAGGAACACCGGUGGCGAAGGCGGCAUCCUGGACCGGUAUUGACGCUGAGGCGCGAAAGCCAGGGGAGCAAACGGG
rnacentral:rRNA from 1 species